GGUGAUUAUCGGAGAAUAUUCGCCGAGACGAAGUCGAGGUGAAUAUUCCCCGAUAAUCACCGAGCCUGAGGCGAAUAAUUGUUUUAGUAUUUUUGUGUUUUUUGGGACUGAAUUUAUUUUAAUUUCGCUUAUUUCUUUAUCAGUAUAAUGGCCACACAACGGCUAGCCGCCAUUUUGAAUAUUUCGAUUUUGUUAUAUUCACCUAUAGGUGAAUAUAACAGCUUAAUACGUCAAAUUUGAC